rnacentral:rRNA from 1 species
AACAGGAUUAGAUACCCUGGUAGUCCACGCCGUAAACGAUGAUAACUAGCUGUCCGGGCACUUGGUGCCUGGGUGGCGCAGCUAACGCAUUAAGUUAUCCGCCUGGGGAGUACGGUCGCAGGAUUAAAACUCAAAGGAAUUGACGGGGGCCUGCACAAGCGGUGGAGCAUGUGGUUUAAUUCGAAGCAACGCGCAGAACCUUACCAGCGUUUGACAUCCCGCGCUAUCCUGAGAGAUCAGGGGUUCCCUUCGGGGACGCGGUGACAGGUGCUGCAUGGCUGUCGUCAGCUCGUGUCGUGAGAUGUUGGGUUAAGUCCCGCAACGAGCGCAACCCUCGUCUUUAGUUGCCAUCAUUCAGUUGGGCACUCUAAAGAAACCGCCGGUGAUAAGCCGGAGGAAGGUGGGGAUGACGUCAAGUCCUCAUGGCCCUUACACGCUGGGCUACACACGUGCUACAAUGGCGGUGACAGUGAGCAGCUAGAUCGCGAGAUCAUGCUAAUCUCCAAAAACCGUCUCAGUUCGGAUUGCACUCUGCAACUCGAGUGCAUGAAGGCGGAAUCGCUAGUAAUCGCGGAUCAGCAUGCCGCGGUGAAUACGUUCCCAGGCCUUGUACACACCGCCCGUCACACCAUGGGAGUUGGGUUCACCCGAAGGCGUUGCGCUAACUCGCAAGAGAGGCAGGCGACCACGGUGGGCUUAGCGACUGGGGGUGAAGUCGUAACAAGGUAACC